rnacentral:rRNA from 1 species
AGCGAACGCUGGCGGCAGGUUUAACACAUGCAAGUCGAGCGGGCCCUUCGGGGUCAGCGGCGGACGGGUGAGUAACGCGUGGGAACGUGCCUUCUGGUCUGGAAUAACCCUGGGAAACUAGGGCUAAUACCGGAUACGCCCUUUUGGGGAAAGGUUUACUGCCGGAAGAUCGGCCCGCGUCUGAUUAGCUAGUUGGUGGGGUAACGGCCUACCAAGGCGACGAUCAGUAGCUGGUCUGAGAGGAUGAUCAGCCACACUGGGACUGAGACACGGCCCAGACUCCUACGGGAGGCAGCAGUGGGGAAUAUUGGACAAUGGGCGCAAGCCUGAUCCAGCCAUGCCGCGUGAGUGAUGAAGGCCUUAGGGUUGUAAAGCUCUUUUAUCCGGGACGAUAAUGACGGUACCGGAGGAAUAAGCCCCGGCUAACUUCGUG